rnacentral:lncRNA from 1 species
UUAAUGUUCUGAGUGCUUCUGAAGUGACAGGAAGUGGUGCAUAUGCCCAGGGACAAAGCCAAGUUGAGGAGCAGAACCACAGUAGCUUGAGGAAGGAAUAGGUGAGAGUAGUGAUCCACCUGCCUCGGCCUCCCAAAGUGCUGGGAUUACAGGCGUGAGCCACCGCGUCCAGCCAAUUGGUGGGUUCCUGGUCUCACUGACUUCAAGAAUGAAGCCACGGACCCUCGCAGUGAGUGUUACAGUUCUUAAAGAUGGUGUGUUCAGAAUUUGUUCCUUCUGAUGUUCGGACGUGUAUGGAGUUUCUUCAUUCUGGUGGGUUCGUGGUCUCUCUGGCUUCAGGAAUGAAGCUGUAGAACUCUGCGAAAUAAGCUUCAAAUGAAAUAGGCUUUCGAUGUGACAGUGUUUACAGGAAACAUUAUGCUGUUACGAACUUCCCUUAGAAUCAACCCAUUUGUGAAACACCACAUUAAUAAGAGCAGUAUCUUUGGAGAUUGGAGAGUCCACCAAGGAUGCCCACUGGCUCCCUACAAAGUUUUUUAUGUGAGGACUCGGUCUCAGGCUCAGAAGUGGAAGAGAUGUGCCUUGACUCAGAUGAGACUUUGGACUUGGACUUUUGAGUUAAUUCUGGAAUGAGUUAAAACUUUAGGGGACUGUUG